UACGAAGGGGGCUAGCGUUGUUCGGAAUCACUGGGCGUAAAGCGCACGUAGGCGGAUCUUUAAGUCAGGGGUGAAAUCCCGAGGCUCAACCUCGGAACUGCCUUUGAUACUGGGGAUCUCGAGUCCGGGAGAGGUGAGUGGAACUGCGAGUGUAGAGGUGAAAUUCGUAGAUAUUCGCAAGAACACCAGUGGCGAAGGCGGCUCACUGGCCCGGAAUUGACGCUGAGGUGCGAAAGCGUGGGGAGCAAACAGG
rnacentral:rRNA from 1 species